AGGACGAACGCUGGCGGCGUGCUUAACACAUGCAAGUCGAGCGGUAAGGCCUUUCGGGGUACACGAGCGGCGAACGGGUGAGUAACACGUGGGUGAUCUGCCCUGCACUUCGGGAUAAGCCUGGGAAACUGGGUCUAAUACCGGAUAUGACCUCAGGUUGCAUGACUUGGGGUGGAAAGAUUUAUCGGUGCAGGAUGGGCCCGCGGCCUAUCAGCUUGUUGGUGGGGUAAUGGCCUACCAAGGCGACGACGGGUAGCCGACCUGAGAGGGUGACCGGCCACACUGGGACUGAGACACGGCCCAGACUCCUACGGGAGGCAGCAGUGGGGAAUAUUGCACAAUGGGCGAAAGCCUGAUGCAGCGACGCCGCGUGAGGAUGACGGCCUUCGGGUUGUAAACCUCUUUCAGCAGGACGAAGCGCAAGUGACGGUACUGCAGAAGAGCGACCGGACUAACUACGUGCCAGCAAGCCGC
rnacentral:rRNA from 1 species